CCUACGGGUGGCAGCAGUGGGGGAUAUUGCACAAUGGGGGAAACCCUGAUGCAGCGACGCCGCGUGGGCGAAGAAGUAUUUCGGUAUGUAAAGCCCUAUCGGCAGGGAAGAAGAAGGACGGUACCUGACUAAGAAGCCCCGGCUAACUACGUGCCAGCAGCCGCGGUAAUACGUAGGGGGCAAGCGUUAUCCGGAUUUACUGGGUGUAAAGGGGGCGCAGACGGCAGCGCAAGCCAGGAGUGAAAGCCCGGGGCCCAACCCCGGGACUGCUCUUGGAACUGCGCGGCUGGAGUGCAGGAGGGGCAGGCGGAAUUUCUGGUGUAGCGGUGAAAUGCGUAGAUAUCAGGAGGAACACCGGUGGCGAAGGCGGCCUGCUGGACUGCGACUGACGUUGAGGCCCGAAAGCGUGGGGAGCAAACAGGAUUAGAUACCCCUGUAGUC
rnacentral:rRNA from 1 species